UUCUGCAUUGUUUCUCGACCAAUUAGCUAAUAUUAAUCAUUUUAAAUUGAUAAAACAUACAUUUUAUGUAGCUAAUUGUAAAAUUUUAAAAGUUUGGACCAUAAAUCUAAAGUUUUAAAAGUUUAGGUUGGUUAUCUCUGCAAAUAAACGAAAGUCAGAAUAACGUUAGAACUGUCAACAAGCAGAAUACGAGUGAGGCUCAUGUUCGUUUGCUUAAUAAGCAAGUCGAGCGCGAGUUAGCUCGUUAAAUAAUCAAGUUGCAAAAUUCACAUCAUCUUCGACGACUUCUGUAUUAGCGAAUCAAACGCGAACUGCUUACGAAUAGCGAAUUAGAUUGUUAGUCCUACGUAA
rnacentral:lncRNA from 1 species